rnacentral:lncRNA from 1 species
CAUCAUUGUUUUCAGACUUAGGGUCUGUUUAUAUGGAAGCCGGCCUGAUAAGCGAGACAGCCCAGUAAGCGAGAUAUUGCUGUGUAGUUAUUUUUAUAGUAAAAAUUAUCGUGCGUUUAUAUGGACAAGCGGGCUGGCCCGGUUGCCGAGAUCUCGUUUGAAAGAGGCUAGAUCUCGCAUACAUUUUAUAUCUCCAUAUAAACAUUUACAAGCGGGCUAUCCCGGUUGCCGGGAUGAAAGUUCAAAGAUACUGCCGCAAUCUAUUUUUAACAACUGUCAAAACAAUACAAUGUAACAAAAUUGUCCCGGCAAGCGGGAUGAAAGUUUCUCAUAUAAACACAAGAGAAAUUCAUCCCGCUUACCGGGCUGUCUCGCUAAGCGGGACAGCCCGACUUCCAUAUAAACAGGCCCUUAAUUGACAUAUGUUCCUCAACCAAUUCAGAAGAAUCCAAAUUUUCCACAUAUACAAUCUCACUAACAUUUCUCAUUUUCGGUACACAGAGCACAAGUUGGGGAUAACUUUUCAUCAUUCAUUGCUUGACUUUAAAAGCUCUAUAUUUAGAUGCAUCCACAUUCUCAGUGUCCUUAGCAAUGAUAACAAAUUUCUCCAGCAAAUCUUUCAUAUAAUUUAUUUGCUUAUUUCCGAUGACCUCAAUCUCAAUUACUUUUUUACAGAAUACAUCAUAAGACUUCUCGUACACUGAUGCUCUUGUUGCUUCUUCGUCUCUCUGGUGAGAAAUAUUGUAUAACUGCAGUAGCAAACUUUGUGAUAGCGGAUUUCCAGAGCUACACAGUCUUUCCCCUGGAUUUGCACGAGUAUCCGUUGAUCAUUCUUUCUCUCGGCAGCUGUACGUAGAAGACCAGCAUCAAUUGUUUCUGCCAACAUGAGUGGGGUUCUUCUUCUCUUCUCAGUUGCCUGGUGUGAAACAAAAUAAAUUAUUAAACUAAAUAUCUACUAAUAACAAGGUUGGAUGUUUGUAGCAUAGAAACUACUUUACCCUAAGUAAACUUAAUUGAUCACAAUUCAAUAUAUUUUAAAACCAAAUCUGAGAAUGUUGUGCACAUUGCGCUAGUAUAUUUACACUGUAUAUACCUAUCAAAAUGACCAUACCUUGUCUAGUGAGAACCACAAGGCGUCUCUUCCACAAGUAAUACAUAUCUCUGGGAAUACAUGCGCGUUUCUUUUAGGCAGGACCUUUAUAUUUAUAGCUUCUGCGACUGAUUGACGACUUUGACGUGUAAUUUACUAUUUUUCACCUUUCGGUUCUAUUGCCUCCACUUCCACGUGUGAUUCUUCGGUAGAAGUUACAGUUUUACAGCUAGUUCCUUCUCCUUUUUCUUCUUUUCUCUGUUAUCUAUAGAUCUCCUCUUCAUCACAAAAUCUCUUCCAGCAUUUCAUAUGAUGGUUCCAUUCUAAGUUAAUGGUGUCAGGGUUUUUCUCGAUGUAUGAAUUGACAGAUCCGUUAUCGAUGUUCUCGUACGAUUUCUUAGCUAUUUCAGCUUGUUGACAUUUAAGUUUGGCCCAUUUUGACCUACACUCAAGAAAUUUCUUAAGCCUUUGGCGUGUAACUUUGCGAAGUUGCUCCGUAACGCCAUCAAAAUGCA